CCUACGGGGGGCAGCAGUGAGGAAUAUUGGUCAAUGGCCGGAAGUCUGAACCAGCCAAGCCGCGUGAAGGACGAAUGUGCCAAGCAUUGUAAACUUCUUUUGUCAAGGGACAAAAUCAGGCUCGAGAGCCUGACCGAGGGUACUUGAAGAAUAAGCAUCGGCUAACUCCGUGCCAGCAGCCGCGGUAAUACGGAGGAUGCUAGCGUUUUCCGGAUUUAUUGGGUUUAAAGGGUGCGUAGGCGGACUGUUAAGUCAGCGGGAAAAGCCGGGGGCUCAACCCCGGCGAGCCGUUGAAACUGGCUGUCUUGAGAAGUAGAGAGGUAUGCGGAAUGCGCAGUGUAGCGGUGAAAUGCUUAGAUAUUGCGAAGAACUCCGAUUGCGAAGGCAGCACACCGG
rnacentral:rRNA from 1 species